CAGAACACGCCAGAGCCACGCGUCCCUACCUUCCAUGUGUUGUGUCAUCAGCCGUGAUGUCCACACUCGCAGGGAAUUAAAGCUCAAACGUCUCCAGGUCUAUUAAAAAAUCCCAACUUCUGAUCCAGCCACCAUCCUCCCCUUCUUCACCACCCAAAACAUGGAUGAUUCAUAGAAAUUAAGCUCCAUCCGAGGGUGAUAUCCUUGGAAUAUGAAGAAGAAUUCUACAUGGAGUUGCAAAUUUUCACAGGGUAACCUAUAAAAGGUGGAGAACUUAAUUAAUAAGGGAAGAAACAUGUGCGACACCAUGAAGCUCUUUGAUUCUCAUUGUCACCUCCAAGAUCCAAGAAUCUUGAACAUGGCACCACAACUGAUUGAAACAGCCCUUAAUUCUGGCAUAAGACAUUUUGCUGUUAAUGGAGUAUCCGAGAAUGAUUGGCAUUUGGUGAAACAAAUGAGUGACACCUAUCAAUGUGUAGUUCCAUGCUUUGGGCUUCAUCCUUGGUAUGUUGCAGAGAGGACUCCCUUCUGGUUCAAUACUUUGAAGGAUUUCUUUCAUGCUACUCCUGCUGCUACUGUUGGAGAGAUUGGUCUGGACAAGGGCUCACGUGGAAGGGAAAUCGAUUUUGUGAAUCAGGUUGAAGUUUUCCAGCAACAGCUUGAACUUGCCAAAGAGUUGAAAAGACCAGUUUCUGUCCAUUGCGUUCGUGCUUUUGGUGAUCUUCUUCAGAUAAUGCAACAUGUUGGACCUUUUCCUGCUGGUGUGAUUCUUCAUUCUUACCUAGGAUCCGCUGAAAUGGUUCCUGAAUUUGCCAAACUUGGUGCUUACUUCUCAUUUUCUGGGUAUCUUAUGUCCAUGAAAGAACAGAAGGCAAAGAAAAUGUUAAGGACGAUACCUGUGGAAAGGAUUUUAUUGGAGUCAGAUGCACCUGAUGCUCUACCAAAAUCAGAUUUGGAUUCUCUGUUUUGGGUUGAAAGAGACUCUUAUGCUUCUAAAGAGCUUCAGACCAAGGACAUAAACCCAGCUUCAAGUUCAGGCAAUCUUUCUGAUAAUCCUGCUGCGAGAAAUAAAUCAGUACUGCCACAAGAAACACUUAAUCAUCCGGCUAACAUUCAUAGUACACAAUGCUGAUCGAGUCCCUUGCUUUCAUGUUUUACUUGUGACAAGUUUAGAUUGAAAUUCAACUAUUUCUAAAGGAACAAGAGACCCUCAUACCAUUUUCUAAGGAAUAGAAAUAUUUCGAUUUGCUAGACAAAGAAGCCACCAUCAUAAUUUCCGAACAAAAUACCCUCCCAACCUACUGUGGCCAUCCCAUCUUGAAUAUGUGCCAGAAAAGAAUCUAACAUUCACAACUCCCGGUAUUGAAAUCUUCUAAUCAACCUAGGAUUCCAAUGACCACUAAUCCCUUCUACAAACUUACAGAGGGUUACAACAGCAUCAGAGUAUACUGCUAUGUGCUCCUUUAUGUCGCAUCUUUGCUUGAGAUGAGUAAGGAGGAGCUUGCAGAAAUAAGUUACAGGAAUGCCGUACGCCUGUUCUCUUU